GAAACGCGAUAGGUAAUGUGAAUUGCAGAAUUCCGUGAAUCAUCGAAUCUUUGAACGCACAUUGCGCCUGCUGGUAUUCCGGUAGGCAUGCCUGUUCGAGCGUCAGCAAAACCUCUCAGUUGAAAUUUAUUUUUCAGUUGGUCAUGGGCUUGCGGAGGACUAGCCAUUACGGCUGCUCCCGCCUUAAAAUUGCUGCACGACCGCAAGCUAUUGCUAGGUUAAUGGAGUGGUGUUUACAUUAUAUUCCAGCGAUUUACUGCAAUGCUUGGUGGCGUUAAACCCGAUGUUUGCGCAAGCAGACUCAGAAGUUUGACCUCGAAUCAGACAAGGAUACCCGCUGAACUUAA
rnacentral:misc_RNA from 1 species